rnacentral:sRNA from 1 species
GUGGCUACGACGGCGAAGGGAGCUGAGACUGUCCACGCAGCCAGGUUAGGCCAGGAGGACCAUGUGAAUGGGGCCAGAGGGCUCCCGGGCUGGGCAGGGACCAUGGGCUGUGGCUGCAGCUCACACCCGGAAGAUGACUGGAUGGAAAACAUUGAUGUGUGUGAGAACUGCCAUUAUCCCAUAGUCCCACUGGAUGGCAAGGGCAAGCUGCCCAUCCGAAAUGGCUCUGAGGUGCGGGACCCACUGGUUACCUACGAAGGCUGCAAUCCACCGGCUUCCCCACUGCAAGGUGACCCCAGGCAGCAGGGCCUGAAAGACAAGGCCUGCGCAUCCCUGGCUGUUAGCUUCCACCUCUCCCUCACCUACUCUCUCCCCGGUCCUGCCUUCCUUGUCCCCUGGCCCAGGCUUCUUGUCCAUCCCAGCCCUGUUCUCCCUGAUGCCCCUUGUUUUUACAGACAACCUGGUUAUCGCCCUGCACAGCUAUGAGCCCUCUCACGACGGAGACCUGGGCUUUGAGAAGGGGGAACAGCUCCGCAUCCUGGAGGAGUGAGUCCCUCUCCACUUUGCUCUGGCGGAGUCCGUGAGGGAGCGGCGAUCUCCGAGACCCGCAGCCCUCCUGCGGCCCUUGACCAGCUCGGGGUGGCCGCCAUUGGGACAAAAUUCGAGGCUCAGGAUUGCUGAGCCAGGGUUCGGGGAGGCUGGCUUAAGGGGUGGAGGG